GUCUAUGGCCAUGCCACCCUGAACAUGCCCGAUCUCAUCUGAUCUCAGAAACUAAGUAGGGUCGGGCCUGGUUAGUACUUGGAUGGAAGACUACCUAAGAAUACCAGGUGCUAUCGACA
rnacentral:rRNA from 1 species